AGUGAACGCUGGCGGCGUGCUUAACACAUGCAAGUCGAACGAGAACGGAUUUUAGCUUACUAUAAUUGUCAGCUAAGUGGCGCACGGGUGAGUAAUGUAUAGGUAAUAUGCCUCUUACUAAGGGAUAACAAAUGGAAACGUUUGCUAAUACCUUAUACUCCUUAUUAACCUAAGUUAAUAAGGGAAAGAUUUAUUGGUAAGAGAUUAGCCUGUAUUGUAUCAGUUAGUUGGUGGGGUAAUGGCUUACCAAGACUAUGACACAUAACUGGUUUGAGAGGAUGAUCAGUCACACUGGAACUGAGACACGGUCCAGACUCCUACGGGAGGCAGCAGUGGGGAAUAUUGCACAAUGGACGAAAGUCUGAUGCAGCAACGCCGCGUGGAGGAUGACACAUUUCGGUGCGUAAACUCCUUUUAUAUGAGAAGAUAAUGACGGUAUUAUAUGAAUAAGCACCGGCUAACUCCGUGCCAGCAGCCGCUGUAA
rnacentral:rRNA from 1 species